GUUUCUGACCUAUCAGCUUUCGACGGUAUGGUAUUGGCUUACCGUGGCAGUGACGGUUAACGGGGGAUUAGGGUUCGAUUCCGGAGAGGGAGCCUGAGAAACGGCUACCACAUCUAAGGAAGGCAGCAGGCGCGCAAAUUACCCAAUUCUAACAGUUUGAGAGAGGUAGUAACAAGAAAUAACAAUACAAGGCAGUUAAAAUGCUUUGUAAUUGGAAUGAUAGAAAUUUAAACCCUUUUUAAAGUAUCAAUUGGAGGGCAAGUCUGGUGCCAGCAGCCGCGGUAAUUCCAGCUCCAAUAGCGUAUAUUAAAAUUGUUGCAGUUAAAAAGCUCGUAGUUGAAGUUCUGCUAAAAGUAACCGGUCUGCUUUUAAUAAAAGUGGUAUCUUGGURUGUAUUUAGCAAUGAUGUCCUUUGAAGUGUUUUUUACUUUAUUGUAAUAAAGCAUAUUCAGGRCUUUUACUUUGAGAAAAUUAGAGUGUUUCUAGCAGGCCRACGCUUUGAAUACUGCAGCAUGGAAUAAUAAGAUAGGAUUUUAGUUCUACAUURUUGGUUUUAAGAGCUAAAUUAAUGAUUGAUAGGGACAGUUGGGGGCAUUUGUAUUUAACUGUCAGAGGUGAAAUUCUUAGAUUUG
rnacentral:rRNA from 1 species